AGAAGGGCGAGGGCGGCCGCGGGAAGAAGGGGAAAGCGGAGGCUCCCCGGGAAAAAAGCGCGAGAGAAUGGAGUUGAGAGGAAAGAAGGAGGAUACAGGCGGCCAAUGUGUGGCCUACGUGGGAGCGCCCCGAGCGCUCCACGUCCCCGGCCUGCGCCGGGCGGCCCCUUCCCCGGGCAUCUUGGCAACGCGCCUGGCCCAAGCCGGAGGGGCCCCGCGGCCCCGCACGCCUCCUGGACCAGUCAGGAUCCAGGCUCCUCUUUGAGCCCGCGGGUGUUUCAUGGGGGUAGAAGUCUAACCCCUCCACCCCCUCUCCUCCCCAGCAGUCCCACGCGGGUAUGGGAGAGAAUGAAGUUCUUUGUCUCUAAGGGAUUCAAACCAGAAACGGAGGGACCUCUGGUUCCCAGAGGGAGGAAAAUCCAUGAUGUCUGCUGCCCAGGGAGCUAUUGCCACCGCCUCCUUGGGAUGAAGUAUUGCCAGCUACCAACAGUUCCUUCCCAACGGCCAUCUUCCAGCCUUCUUAAACGACUCCUAGCAUCUUCGGGAGGCUCCUGAAGGACUGAAGCAAAGGAAAUCUCUGAAGGGAUUUAGUCCUUGAAAGGGAGUAGGGAUACUUAGGGUGUUCUGUGUUGAGCGCUUCUUCCUAUCUCUCCAGCUUCAUGUAUGUGUGUCUUUAUGUCCAAGCAAUUGAGCCAACAAGUCCUCAGAAUUCCUUGUGAAAAAAACGUUUUUUUUUUUUGAGACGGAUUCUCACUCUGUCGCCCAGGCUGGAGUGCAAUGGUGAAAUUCAGCUCACUGCAACCUCCGCCUCCGGGGUUCAAGCGAUUCUCCUGCCUCAGCCUCCCGAGUAGCUGGGAUUACAGUCACGCGCCACCACGCCCAGCUAAUUUUGUAUUUUUAGUAGAGACAGGAUUUCUCCUUGGUCAGGCUGGUCUGGAACUCCCGACUUCAGGUGAUCCGCCCGCCUCGGCCUCCCAAAGUGGUGGGAUUACAGGUGUGAGCCACCGUGCCCAGCCCUGAAAUAGUCUUAAUUGCUUGUUUUUCUUUUUUGUCUGAGGUGUGCUUUUUAAAAUCUCUAUGGAGAUGGAGAAGACUGACAUUCUCUGGCCUGAUGUGAAAACCUCUCAUUAAAACUGUGUCUGUGCUUUGUGGGCUGAAAGCAUGAAACACUGGAAAUUUUAAACAAACGUAUGUGAAUGUGUUAAGAAGCCAAGAGUCCGGCCCUCUUUCACCAGACUGUAUGGCCUCAGAUCAGCAAGGGAAGUAUUGAGCUUAGGGACACCAAGUAAUGGAGUGAGCAGGGAUGAGAGGGCACAUAGAAUGUGGUGAUCUCUUUCCAUGUCAAGGCUUGUGUGUUUGUGGCACUGGGGUCUUGCUGUGUCCCCAAGGCUAGAGUACAGUGGCACAAUUAUGGUUCACUGCAGCCUCAACCUCCAGGGCUCAAGUGAUCCUCCCACCUCAGUCUCCUAAGUAGCUGGGACAACAGGCUUGGGCUGCCACACCUGGCUAACUUUUUAUUUUUUUGUAGAGACGGGCCUUUGUAAUACCAGCCUUUGUUGCCCAGGCUGGUAUUGAACUCGCUCAAGCGAUCCUCCCACCUGGGCGUCCCAAAGUGCUGGGAUUAUAGGAGUGAGCCACUGUGCCCAGCCUUCAGCGUCAAGACUUUCUGCACCAUCUCUACGCUGACAGCUCCGUAAUUUAUAUUUCUUUCUGGACUCAUCCCCUAACUCCAGAAUCAUAUAUCCAACUGUCUAGUAUACAUACCCAGUUGGAUGUCUAAUAGGUAUUUCUUUUUUUUGAGGUGGAGUCUUGCUCUGUUGCCCAGGCUGGAGUGCUGGAGUGCAGUGGCACGAUCUCGGCUCACUGCGAGCUCCUCCCGGGUUCACGCCAUUCUGCCUCAGCCUCCCCAGUAGCUGGGACUACAGGCGCCUGCCACUACGCCUGGCUAAUUUUUUGUAUUUUUUAGUAGAGACGUGGUUUCACUGUGUUAGUCAGGAUGGUCUCAUCUCCUGACCUCGUGAUCUGCCCGCCUCGGCCUCCCAGAGUGCUGGGAUUACAGGUGUGAACCACCGCGCCCGGCCUAGGUAUUUCAAACUUACAUCUAAAAAUCAAGCUCCCGAAUUCCUCCCACCCAAACACCCAAAUACCACUUCUACAGUCUUACUCUUUUUUUUUUUUUUUUUUGAGACGGAGUCUUGCUCUGUUGCCCAGGCUGGAGUGCAGUGGCACAAUCUCAGCCCACUGCAACCUCUCCACCUCCCGGGUUCAAGCGAUUCUCCUGCCUCAGCCUCCAGAGUAGCUGGGAUUACAGGCAUGCACCACCAUGCCCAGCUAAUUUUUGUAUUUUUAGUAGAGACGGGGUUUCACCAUGUUGGUCAGGCUGGUCUCAAACUCCUGACCUCAUGAUCCGCUCACCUCAGCCACCCAAAGCUGGGAUUACAGGCGUAAGCCACCGCGCCCAGCCCAGUCUUCCUCUCUUUGUCACCCCAUUGCCUUUCAAAAUGUAUGUCCAAGGCUGGACGUC
rnacentral:lncRNA from 1 species